rnacentral:tRNA from 1 species
GCCUGGGUGGGCUCAGCUGGUUAAGUGUCUGACUUUGGCUCAGGUCAUGAUCUCACAGUCUGUGGGUUUAAGCCCUGCCUCAGGCU